GGUGGCCUAGUGGUUAGAGCAUCUGCCUCAGAUGUGGGAGGUCAUGGGUUUGAUCCCCAGGAGGGUCA